UCUUGCACUGGUCACCCCCAUCCCCACGACGAUACCGCGGCCUGCGUGGAACAAACCAGAGCCACGCAGCGGGUCGGCUCCUCCACCCCAUCCCCAUCUGGCGAACGGCGGCGCCUGUGCUGCUCCGGCGAGGUGCCCAACAAUGGCCUCGAGCUCAACGGGAUGUGUGUUGCGCCCGGGCCGUGGAGCAGUUCCGUCUUCCCAGUCGAGUCACAGGAUUCGAUGAGCGUCCCCAGCGUCGUGUUUGGCGCCGGCGGCGGGCGAGGUGUGCUCUGAAGCCACCAGUGGCUGGACACGCAGGAUAGAUCUGAUUCGCACAGGAGUGUUGCCGGGCUGGCGGGGUGUAUUGGUUCCGUUCUACCAGUGGACUCCCAGGAUUCGAUGAGUGCCCCCAUUGUCAAGGUGGACGCGGUCGGCAAAGCACAGCCAUAAGAAACUGUGCUGAACAUCCUUCUCUCCUUCUGAUUUUGCAGCUCUUUUAGCAAGUUUGCAUAUUUAGAAAGGUUGAGCUUUGUCUAAUUACCGUAGAAGUUGAUCUGAAGCUGGUUGUUUGGCACAUAUUUCACUGCAAUUUUAGUUUGAGUGCAAUUUGGGACAAAUUUGUUUGGAUGGGUAGUAUGUUUGUUGGAUUUCCCCCCCGUGCCACAGGCAGCUUUAUGGUGUAAAUUGGGUAGUCGGAGUAGAUAACUUUUUUUACUUGGGCCAAUGGAACAUUUGUCGCUUGGACUUUGGGGGUUAGUGAUGUUGAGUUCAGAAUUGCCGUAUUUAUUUGAUGAGUUUCGCUACAGUGGAAGCCACAGGAUUUUUUUUUAUUGGUACGUGAUAAAUUUGGAGUAAAACUUUUGUGGAUUGUUUAGAGGCAAGCUGGUCGUGUUUAGGUUGUUGGUUACUUUUUAGAGGCAAUGGAACAAUGCAGUUUGCAGUUUUGGGUGUUAGUGAUGUUGGAUCCAGUAUAACCAUAUUUGUUUUAUGAGUUUUGAUCCAGUGCAAGUCAAAUGAUUGUUUUGAUUGGGAGAUGAUUGGUUUGGAGUAAAACCUUGAUGAUGGUUGUUUGGGACAAAAAUGUUCAUCAAUGUACUUGGGGUGAUUUCACACAGGAGGUUCGGUUUGAGUAUUUUCUAGAGGCAAGCUGGUUGUGCUUAGGUUGUCAGUCAAGCAGCUUGAAAGCAUGCCCACUGUCUAUGCAAAUUCACCAAUGUAGCUACUCUAUCUUGCAGGAAACUCUGUUAUCACAUAGUAACCUGAUGUUCUAUGAGCUAAUGCGGAUGCAAGGGAACCAUUCAGCGGCGGCAAGUGACUUGCUUGAGGCAAUCAAAGGGUCAUUUGUUGUUCUGUAAAACAGUUUGCCCUGUGUGGUAUAGGCAAUGUUUUGAGGGAAUAGGUAUAGGCAAUUGGAAAUGCCAUGUAACUCUUUUUCAUUCAGUUUUAAGAACCUCCACAAGAUAUUCAGUUUGGACCGUGUGCAGGGUUAAUUCAAUGCACUUUAAUUCAUGCAGCUCCCACC
rnacentral:rRNA from 1 species